rnacentral:rRNA from 1 species
CAGCAGCCACGGGAAUACAGAGGGUGCGAGCGUUAAUCGGAUUUACUGGGCGUAAAGCGUGCGUAGGCGGCUAAUUGAGUCGGAUGUGAAAUCCCCGAGCUUAACUUGGGAAUUGCAUUCGAUACUGGUUAGCUAGAGUGUGGGAGAGGAUGGUAGAAUUCCAGGUGUAGCGGUGAAAUGCGUAGAGAUCUGGAGGAAUACCGAUGGCGAAGGCAGCCAUCUGGCCUAACACUGACGCUGAGGUACGAAAGCAUGGGGAGCAAACAGGAUUAGAUACCCCGGUAGUCCCUGUCUCUUAUAA